GGAAAGCCAUCGUUCUCAUUAAAUUGGAUUUAGCAUUUGAUUUGUAGCUUGUUAUAGGAACAUUGCAAUCGUGAGGGCUAUGUUGUGAUCUUUAUCCUUCCAUAUGAUCUAGUUUUAGGGAGGCCCUCUAAAUCUUUUAUAUUUUCAUGAUCUACAAUAAGGAAACUAUAAUUUUUUCAUGAUCCAGUUUUAGGGAGGCCCUCUAAAUCUUUAUCCUUCCUUGUGUGUCUGUGUUUCAUAAUUCAUAAUUAGUCUGUAAUAUUUGGAUUCACAUUUUAUAACUAGUUCACAUUUGGUUUGUAAUAUUUCAUUAUUAUUGUUAUGGAUUGUUAUGCAUACUGGGUGCCCC
rnacentral:lncRNA from 1 species